AACGAACGCUGGCGGCAUGCCUAACACAUGCAAGUCGAACGAGACCUUCGGGUCUAGUGGCGCACGGGUGCGUAACGCGUGGGAAUCUGCCCUUGGGUUCGGAAUAACAGUUAGAAAUGACUGCUAAUACCGGAUGAUGACUUCGGUCCAAAGAUUUAUCGCCCAAGGAUGAGCCCGCGUAGGAUUAGCUAGUUGGUAGGGUAAAGGCCUACCAAGGCGACGAUCCUUAGCUGGUCUGAGAGGAUGAUCAGCCACACUGGGACUGAGACACGGCCCCGACUCCUACGGGAGGCAGCAGUGGAGAAUAUUGGACAAUGGGCGAAAGCCUGAUCCAGCAAUGCCGCGUGAGUGAUGAAGGCCCUAGUGUUGUAAAGCUCUUUUACCCGGGAUGAUAAUGACAGUACCGUGAGAAUAAGCCCCGGCUAACUCCGUGCCAGCCGCCGCGGUAAAAC
rnacentral:rRNA from 1 species